GAGGGAGGAAGCAGGGCAGGAGAGCCGGCAGAGGAAGACAAGGCAGGCGAGGAAGUGGUGGUGCUGCUGGACGCAUGGAUGAUACAACUUUUCUUGCAUCGCAGCCUCGCUUCUUAUCUGGAGGUGGUGAAUAUUUGGGGACACAAGACAGGUCAAGGAGAUGGAACAAGUGAACAUCAGCAGAAAUUAACAGAUGAGUCUUUAUUCUUUACGUUUUAUUCUGAAAUCCUGACGUUGUUGUUAUAAAUGUUUGUUGUUGACCUCCACGAUCCUGUCAUCUGAUUGGCCGAUGCCGCGGGUCACAAGUGGCGGCAUCAGGCAGAUUUCAGGAGGACCAGUUGCCGAUUUGUUAUUUCCAAUCCAGAUUUUUUUUAACAUGACCAGUUUGUCUGAUGCCGCCAACUUUUGAGCCGCACCCAUCGGUCAUUCAGAUGACGUAUGAGGGAAUGAAUCCGUGAGUUACAUAUUUGCCAUUGCCAGGCGGAGAAUUGAAGAUGCUGCUGCUGUGUGCUCUGGGAGAAACAGACGAGGAGGCAACUCAAGAGAUUUUCGUAGACAUGAGAAGGAGGGGAUACUGGUUACCGUGACAGAGGAGCUGUCUCAAUGUGCCGGAAGGAACGGCCACCAGCUUCCUUCACGUUCGCCGUCACCGAAAUGACAACGCUGAAGGCCGAGCCAUCCACUGCGUAGGGUGUGCGUGGUAGUAGCUACUUCGGUCAGCGGAAUAAUGGAGCAACAAGUUAGCCGUGACCAUCUGGCACUGGGAGCAAACCGCAUAUAUAGUUAAUAAUGUACUCAAGGCAGCUCCUUACACCACAACCAGGAACCUUACACCACAACCAGGAAGGAAUCAUCAAUCAUCGAUCUCCAACCGACGAAAAAUAAAAUUUUUCAGAUUCAGAAACUUCUUAAUCUUCUCUUUAGUUACUGAAGGAGGAACUUGAUUGUGAGCCGUACGUACGUUGAAUGAAAACAGUGUUGUAAUAAAGUAAGUAAGUAGUCAGGCAUGUGAAGAACGUCAGGAGGGUAAGUGGAGGUAGCGGCAAGGUCGCACUCCCCCAGUGAUAUGCCGAUAUGCCAUGUUUUUUUAAUAUAUUAUAUAAAUUGGUGCAUUUCUGAAAUUAUUCUAACUUUAGUUCAUCACCGGUGAGGUAAAAAAAAAAAAAAUCGAGGCCUAUUUAGUGUGUAAUCUCCCCUAUCCUAAACGUGGCGUAUGAGCGGCAGUGUGUGUGACCUUGCCGAUAUCUCCUGACCUGAUCUGACGUGUUCCAGACGCUCACUUGCCUACCUACAACGUACGGCUCACAAUCGCCCUUCAUUAAUAAAAUCUGAAAGAUGAGGAUUCUUUCAGUUUUGAAUGAAAGAAUCCUCAAAGCUUAUCUACUUUGUAAAUUGCAGCAAGUGUCUCUCUCUCUUCUUACCUUUAUAAUGUUUAAAAGUUUUUUUUUAAAUCUUUCAUCGGUGUAAGACUGAGCCAUUCGCUCGCCGGGUGUGGGGAGGUAAGGAGCUGCCUUCAUUACAUGGGUUUCCUCCCAGUCUGUAUGGCGGCUAGUUGGGCUGAGGCCGCCUGGCACCGAGCGUGGAGAAUCACAGGGAACAGCUGCGACAUGGCAAGAAUUUCACGACCACUGCUGGAGGAGGAGGAAAUAAACCUUAGUAUGAUGAUAAUUGAUUGCUUAAUAUUUCUACGAUGAUAAUUGAUUGCUUAAUAUUUCUACUCUACGCAUGUGUCACGUCAGCAAGGUCCCAGCUGACUCGCUCAAAUGAAUUUACACGGAUCGGAGGUGAGUACAGACAGAUUUAUUUGUCUUCUUCCAAUGUGUACGCAAUCCCAGAAAAUGAACUUGCACAUUUAGUUACCAGCGUUUAUCAUUUGGAGACUUAACGGUACGCCAUGAUCACAACCAAAUGAAAACCCCAUGAUCACAACCAAAUGAAAUUCAUCAAUCACCUACAGAAGAUAUAAGCGGGGGAUGCGACGCCCCUGUGAUUAGAAUUUGGUU